UUCCCAAGAGCAAGUGGAAGGAUGGCGAAGAUGAGUCCGAGCAGUCCAACCCCUACUCCUAUGAUUCUUUUCCCCUGCUAUCACGCUUGUUCGCAAACUGCUUCGCAUCUCUGAUGUUUGGAUUUAGGAUUUCUUUGAUCUUCAGAUGAUACUAACCAUGUUACUCUAUUUCGACCAAGGAAUGUGCUUCUGUUGUUUCAGAUUCCAUGCCAAUCAUUCACAAGAUUUUACCAAUUAAAGGGAAUACUGGCUGUACUAAAGAAUGUAAACACCCAUCGGAUUGAGGCAAACAAUCGUUUAGCAACUAAUAAUAUGCAAAGGUGACUUCAUGGAUGUGCACUUGACAUUCACAUUCGGCCCCCGAAUGAGGAGAAAACUAUCCAAUCUGCUGCAGAU